GGGAAGGCAGCGCCUCCACCAAUGGGGAGCCGCAAAGGCCGUGAGUGGCGGGCCCGGGGCGGAACAGCGCCAUUGGGUUCCUAGAGCGAACUCCAGCUGGACAGUUCUGGGGGUCACAGGUCCAAGAUGGGUCUUCUGAGCUGAAGUGCUGCGUUCCUUCUGGAGGCCCCAGGCCAGAAGCCGUCCCCCGCACCUUUUCCCGCUCCAGAGCCGCCCGGAUGUCUCCAAGCUCACGCUGCAAAAACACCUUCACAGACACACUCAGAAAUCGAGUUUAACCAGAUACCUGGGCUUCCUGUGGCUCAGUCAGGUGGACACAUACAAUUAACUGUUA